AUUGAACGCUGGCGGCAGGCCUAACACAUGCAAGUCGAACGAGUGGCGGACGGGUGAGUAAUGUCUGGGAAACUGCCCGAUGGAGGGGGAUAACUACUGGAAACGGUAGCUAAUACCGCAUACCAUCGGAUGUGCCCAGAUGGGAUUAGCUAGUAGGUGGGGUAACGGCUCACCUAGGCGACGAUCCCUAGCUGGUCUGAGAGGAUGACCAGCCAGACGGGAACGGAGACACGGUCCGGACUCCACCGAGAGGCAGCAGUGGGGAAUAUUGCACCAUGGGCGCAAGCCUGAUGCAGCCCUGCCGCGUGUAUGAAGAAGGCCUUCGGGUAGUAAAGUACUUUCAGCGAGAAAGCUUUACUCGCAGAAGAAGCACCGGCUAACUCCGUGCCAGCAGCCGCGGUAAUUC
rnacentral:rRNA from 1 species